rnacentral:ribozyme from 1 species
UGAGCAAUAAUGGCCAUAGCAGAAGCAUUCAUGUCACAGCCCCUGUCAGAUUCCAACAAAUCUGCUAAAUUGUGCU